rnacentral:rRNA from 1 species
CCUACGGGUGGCAGCAGUGGGGAAUAUUGGGCAAUGGGCGCAAGCCUGACCCAGCAACGCCGCGUGAAGGAAGAAGGCUUUCGGGUUGUAAACUUCUUUUCUGAGGGACGAAGAAAGUGACGGUACCUCAGGAAUAAGCCACGGCUAACUACGUGCCAGCAGCCGCGGUAAUACGUAGGUGGCAAGCGGUAUCCGGAUGUAUUGGGUGUAAAGGGCGUGUAGGCGGGAAAGGAAGUCAGAUGUGAAAACUCAGGGCUCAACCCUGAGCCUGCAUUUGAAACUGUUUGUCUCGAGUGCUGGAGAGGCAAUCGGAAUGCCGGGUGUAGCGGUGAAAUGCGUAGAUAUACGGAGGAACACCAGUGGCGAAGGCGGAUUGCUGGACAGUAACUGACGCUGAGGCGCGAAAGUGUGGGGAGCAAACAGGAUUAGAUACCCGGGUAGUC